UACGGAGGGUGCAAGCGUUAUCCGGAUUUACUGGGUUUAAAGGGUGCGUAGGUGGGUCUGUAAGUCAGUGGUGAAAUCUCCGAGCUUAACUCGGAAACUGCCAUUGAUACUAUAGGUCUUGAAUUAUCUGGAGGUGAGCGGAAUAUGUCAUGUAGCGGUGAAAUGCUUAGAUAUGACAUAGAACACCUAUUGCGAAGGCAGCUUACUACGCAUAUAUUGACGCUGAGGCACGAAAGCGUGGGGAUCAAACAGG
rnacentral:rRNA from 1 species